AACGAACGCUGGCGGCAGGCUUAACACAUGCAAGUCGAACGGAUCCUUCGGGAUUAGUGGCAUACGGGUGAGUAACGCGUGGGAACGUACCCUUUGCUACGGAAUAACUCAGGGAAACUUGUACUAAUACCGUAUGUGCCCUACGGGGGAAAGAUUUAUCGGCAAAGGAUCGGCCCGCGUUGGAUUAGCUAGUUGGUGGGGUAAUGGCCUACCAAGGCGACGAUCGAUAGCUGGUCUGAGAGGAUGAUCAGCCACACUGGGACUGAGACACGGCCCAGACUCCUACGGGAGGCAGCAGUGGGGAAUAUUGGAAAAUGGGCGCAAGCAUGAUGCAGCCAUGCCGCGUGAGUGAUGAAGGUCUUAGGAUUGUAAAGCUCUUUAACCGGUGAAGAUAAUGACGGUAGCCGGAGAAGAAGCCCCGGCUAACUACGUG
rnacentral:rRNA from 1 species